GACGAACGCUGGCGGCGUGCUUAACACAUGCAAGUCGAACGAAGUGGCGAACGGGUGAGUAACGCGUAAUCAACCUGCCCUUCAGAGGGGGACAACAGUUGGAAAGGACUGCUAAUCCCGCAUACUGAAGGAGGGGAUUGCGUCUGAUUAGCUAGUUGGAGGGGUAACGGCCCACCAAGGCGAUGGUCAGUAGCCGGGCUGAGAGGAUUAACGGCCAAAUUGGGACUGGGACAAGGCCCAGACUCCUACUGGAGGCAGCAGUGGGGAAUCUUCCGCAAUGGACGAAAGUCUUACUGAGCAACGCCGCGUGAGUGAUGACGGCCUUCGGGUUGGAAAGCUCUGUUAAUCGGGACGCGGUACCGGAAUAGAAAGCAACGGCUAACUACGUGCCAGCCGCCGCGGUAAUUC
rnacentral:rRNA from 1 species